rnacentral:misc_RNA from 1 species
GAUGAAGAACGUAGCGAAAUGCGAUACGUAGUGUGAAUUGCAGAAUUCAGUGAAUCAUCGAAUCUUUGAACGCACAUUGCACCUCUCGGUAUUCCGGGAGGUAUGCCUGUUCGAGCGUCAUUUGUACCCUCAAGCUCUGCUUGGUGUUGGGUGUUUGUUCCGCCUCUGUGUGUGAACUCGCCUCAAAACAAUUGGCAGCCGGCGUACUUGUUUCGGAGCGCAGCACAUUUUGCGAUCCAGAUCAACGUACAGCGGCAUCCAAGAAGCCUUAUUUAACGCUCUUGACCUCGCAUCAGGUAGGGAUACCCGCUGAACUUAAGCAUAUCAAUAAGCGGAGGA